rnacentral:lncRNA from 1 species
CAGCCGCUGACCCCCUCGGCUCCUUCAAUAUGUCCACCCGGUCUCGAAUACCUAACAACCGUUGACCAGUUGGUAAUUCAACAACAAAGCGACCUCUUCCAAAAUUUCGUCGGCUACGAGAAGUACAACAAGUACGUGGCUAAGAACGUGCUGGGACAGUUCGUGUACCUGUUUGCCGAAGACAGCGGGUGCUGCAAGCGAUGGUAUGUUGCUCGCGGCGCUGCUUUGAGAUGAAGGUCAUGGACUACCGCAACGUCGAGGUGAUGCGAUUUAUUCGGCCGCUAAGGUGCGACUACUGCUGCGCCUUCUGCUGCCUACAGUACAUCGAGGUGCAGGCACCGCCGACUGUCACGAUAGCGUACCUGUACCAGGACUGGUCGCCCUUCUUUCCUUCGUACACGGUCUACGAUCGCCAGUGCAAUCCCAUGAUCUCCAUCGCAGGCCCACUCUGCACGCAGACUUUCUUUUACUGCUUGGAAGCCAAGU